rnacentral:lncRNA from 1 species
AGGAUGCUUAGCUAGGGGUAACAUUUCAGUAUGAGUGUAUACUGAGGUCAUGGGAGGAAAGUGUUGGGAGUUAAAGCUGGAAAGAAUUGGUUGUAAUUAAGGAGACACAUUUAAACAGUAUCAAUUCUGAAUCAAGAUAUCGACUAAACUGAACACCCAGAAGUGAAGGCAGAAAAGCAGCCAAACAAAACCCAGAGCCCUGGAAAUGGAACCUUCCAUGCCUUCCCCACGCUUGCCUCUCUGGUUCUACAGCAGCAGCCUAUCUUCUGUCUGCUUGGUUUAGGAAGCUCCUUCUUCAGGGUUUCUGAAUUGCUGGCCUUUUGGUGACGUUUGGCGCAACAACCCUCUCUACCUAUAACCCACAUCGCUGACCUCAGAGCUCAAUGAACGUUUCAUUUACAUGCACAGUCAAAUUAAAUUUGCCCAGCC